rnacentral:pre_miRNA from 1 species
AGGGGGAUUGCUGGGUCAUGUGGUAACUCUAUGUUUAGCUGAGGAACCACCAUGUGUUUUCCACAGUGGUUCCACCAUUUUACAUUCCCACCAGCAAU